GGAGCAAGACAUAUCUUCAUCUGCUGCUCCUCUUCCUCAGUGUGCUACAAACACAUGGAUACAUUCAAAUCCCUCCUGAUUACACAUAUGACAGCCUAAAACAAGCUCCAAAGAUCACAGCUCAACCCGGGUCUCACACCGCUUACUCUCUGGAUGAUAUCAGUCUAGCCUGUGAAGCCAGUGGAGAUCCGA